CCAUGUUUUACACGGUUUGUACAUGAAUUAUGGUACUUAUGUCUAUCUAGUAUUUGUAUAUAUUUUUACCUGUGGAGUUUAUAUAGAUAUAUAAAUGGAGUUAGUUUAUAUAUUGGCGACAACUACUGGGUUGUUUUUCCUGUUAAUUGUUAUACUACUUACUGUUGUUAUUUGUGCCGUACGAAAAUUAAAACAACGACAUUCCAAGCGAUGUGAAUCGUGUCAGAACAAAAUUCAAGACGAUUUAGAAGCAGGUUUUCCACAUAGUUCAGGGGAGACAACUACAGAAUACAUUGACGAUGAUUCGGUUUUCAUGGGCGACUAUUCCACCCCAGAGAAACGCGAGAAAAACAAGAGGAGGCGGAGGGAAACGACAACAAAAAUUAACAAAUAUGAAGACUUUGAGGUUAUCGAGCAUUUCUCAGAAACAGAAAAUAUUCAAAAUGUCCUUUCAUCUAAGUCUAGAGUUGAAGAAAGGGGGCUUACUCCCGUUGAACCCGGUUAUGACGAAGACGAAGCCUAUAAUGAUGUAUUAGAAGUCUUUAGCAAUAAAUGUGGAGAUGUGCGCUGUGACAAUCGUGCAGAUGUUGGUCCAAAUCACGCUCCACCACUUCCAAAAAAGUAUAAAUCUCGAACCGGGAAUCUUGAUGUCGAAUACAAACAUAAUACUCCCGUCCAAUCCGAAUACGAGGGCCAAGCGAUAUACGACUGUUUACCCCUCCCACGCCCAGUCAUUCAGAACCAAAGACGGAACUGGCAACGGGCAGACAUUAACCCGGAUGCUCACCGAGCAAUAAACGCUGAGCUGCUUCCAAGUUUUUACCCGAAUUCUCGAUCGCGAACCCAAUCCGAAGGAGAGUCCAUAGAUAAACCGGAAGAGAAUCGCAAUGAUAUUUCAGACUGUCGCUCUAGGGUACACUCUCUAUCUGGCGCACGAAUAUAACACUGGACUAAAAUAAGAAAAUAGGAGCGGAGCUACUUCUAUUUACAGCGUAAACUGCUACGUUUACAUCGAGCUCAUUUCUUACCCCCACCCCUAUUUUACCGUGACGCUGGGUUGUAUGUUUGUGUCGCUCCAGACACUCUCUAUCUAGCACGAAUAUAGCACUGGACUAAAAUAAGAAAAUAGGGCGGAGCUACGUUUUUACAGCGUGAACUGCUACGUUUCCAUAGAGCUCAUUUCUACCCCCUACCCCCGCUCAC